GACGAACGCUGGCGGCGUGCUUAACACAUGCAAGUCGAACGCUGAACCCGCUUCGGUGGGGGAUGAGUGGCGAACGGGUGAGUAACACGUGGGCAACCUGCCCCCGGCUCUGGGAUAACUCCAAGAAAUUGGGGCUAAUACCGGAUGUGACCGCUGGCCGCAUGGUCUGGUGGUGGAAAGGGUUUCCGGCUGGGGAUGGGCCCGCGGCCUAUCAGCUUGUUGGUGGGGUAGUGGCCUACCAAGGCGACGACGGGUAGCCGGCCUGAGAGGGUGACCGGCCACACUGGGACUGGGACACGGCCCAGACUCCUACGGGCGGCAGCAGUGGGAAAUAUUGCGCAAUGGCCGGAAGCCUGCCGCAGCGACGCCGCGUGGGGAUGACGGCCUUCGGGUUGUAAACCUCUUUCAGCAGGGACGAAGCGCAAGUGACGGUACCUGCAGAAGAAGCACCGGCCAACUACGUG
rnacentral:rRNA from 1 species